rnacentral:rRNA from 1 species
UAGGGAAUCUUCGGCAAUGGACGAAAGUCUGACCGAGCAACGCCGCGUGAGUGAAGAAGGUUUUCGGAUCGUAAAACUCUGUUGUUAGAGAAGAACAAGGACGUUAGUAACUGAACGUCCCCUGACGGUAUCUAACCAGAAAGCCACGGCUAACUACGUGCCAGCAGCCGCGGUAAUACGUAGGUGGCAAGCGUUGUCCGGAUUUAUUGGGCGUAAAGCGAGCGCAGGCGGUUUCUUAAGUCUGAUGUGAAAGCCCCCGGCUCAACCGGGGAGGGUCAUUGGAAACUGGGAGACUUGAGUGCAGAAGAGGAGAGUGGAAUUCCAUGUGUAGCGGUGAAAUGCGCAGAGAUAUGGAGGAACACCAGUGGCGAAGGCGACUUUCUGGUCUGUAACUGACGCUGAUGUGCGAAAGCGUGGGGAUCAAACAGG